ensembl:lncRNA
CACGAGGGCAAGAACGUACAUAAAAAGAGAGAGCAAUUAAAGAACAUUCACACAUUUCUCUCCAAAUUGAGCAACUGCCCACAGCACUCCGUUAAAGGUAUAACGCUCCCCUAGUCUUCCAUCAUCAACUGUAUGCAGUCCUAUAAACACAAGAGUGGGUCAUUAAAAUGGGCAUCUCUCACUGUUGUUGGCUGGUAGAAAAUGAAAUAUUUUCUCUCCUUCCCUGAAAAGAGAAAGGUGGCUGAGGACUUCCUCUCUGGCCUAUCUUCUCCCACUCCUUGUUCCUUUCUACCUCUGCAGAAUGGAUCUGCUCACCAGCCAAAUUUUCCUUAAUGCAUUUAACUGGAUAGCACUACUGGAAGGAAGGAAAGUUCUUACGGGGCAAAUGACUGAGGCACACGACAGAAUAAGUGACUUAUACAAGGUCAUGCAGGAAAUCUGACACCAGGCCAAGAACAGAACGGUUUCCAAGCAUCUGUGUUUCCCAGGUUGGAGUUUUUGCUGAAGAAAACAUGAAAAACAAGACAUCUAAAUUUAACUUCAUAAAUAUGAGAGACUUCACAAAUGACCUUGAGGGAAGUUCUGUAACUGCUCUGUGUCUUGUUCCAACAAAAAGUGAAGAUGAUACUUAUAUGAGGCUAAGUAUUAUUUUUGUGGAAAGGUGUUCCAUACACUGGGUGGAAUAUACCAGGAAAUGACUCAGAGUAUAUUCUCAUAAUCUGUACCAGAAUAGUAUUUCUCUUUGUGGUGUGCCUAAAUGAGCAUCCAUGCCUUACUGUGUUAGGUACUGUGCAUACACAAUAAAAGAUUAGCUGAAAAAAAUGCCAUUUAAAUACAAAAAAAAAAAAAAAAAAUCAAGAAAAUAGGGACAGGAAAGACAGGGGUGAUGAGAAGAGACAAUCUUUUAUUAACACUACAGAAUGUUAUGUUAUCAAAACAUGGAAAAUAAUUCUAUUUAUUGGCUUGGUUAUUGUAUCUACAUGGGUAGGUGAAAAUAGAGCUAUGCUAACCUUUCUUGGGCUCUGAUGUGCCUUAGACACUGUUAGAUCAGUGCAUUAUCUGAAGCCUGAUGCUGUGUUAAUGUGGCUGGAUGGCUUCUAGUCAAAGAACAAUGAGAGGAGCUUUGGUCCCUGUCUGUGCCUUCUGGAUAAACAACUCUGUGCUUCACAGCAUAAAAUGUUUAUGAGGCUACAUCCCAUGUAACUGUUGGAAAUGGUAAGCUGCAGAAUUCCACUUUUGGAUUUGUAGAUCCCACCAAAAUUCACCCCAGUUCUACUUUCCUUACAACAUAAUUUUAAAUAUGUUGUAAUGAGCUAUUUCUAGUGCAAAACAGAGAGAAUACCAGGAACAUUGCUUUCACUUUACUUCCCUCACUGUCUCCUUCCAUCCCUCCCUCCAAAAAUUGGAAAUUUUUGAAGAGAUUCUCACUUGGCUAUUGAAGAAAUUUCCAAAUCUUUUACUCCAAAUUUCAGAUUCUCUCCACCCAUUAUGUUCUUAAAGAAUCAUGUGCACCUCUAUACCAAAUAUAAGCUGUUUUCACCAAGACCAAACGCUAUAUCUACAAACAGAUUUUUUCCCAAGUCAAACUCCUACCGACUCAAUACUUUCACAAAGUACCACCUGCAACUGCCAAUGACUUUUGCAGGGCAAAUAGUGACUACCAUUUCUACCCAGAAAAUCACCUCUCUGACUGCAUUUGAGUUUAGAGGACUCAGUUUUGGGAGCCAAGUCGAACUGUAGUUCUUCAAGGGAUCCUUUCAUCUUGUUUAUGUGAGAGCGACAGUCCAACAAGUGAACCACAAAGAGCAACAAAGAAAAACAAUCCAGUUUAAAAAAAAAAAAAAAAAAAAAAAAGGAAAUAUGUGGCUCAAAACAAAUGUUACCACCAAGGAAAACAGAAACCUUCACACUUUAACAGGACUGCCUGAAGAACACAUGAAUGCCACUCCUGCCUGUGUGUUUCCUGACGGGCACUACCAGUGGGAGCUGAUUGUACUGGAGUAACGCACUCCUGGUACCUAUACACUGAAUUAGUCUUCACACAGGAAUGAGGAGGCAACAUGGGAAAUAUCUUAAAAAUCUAAAUCCCUCAGGAUUCCUGGAGACAUUUCAAAAUAAAUUCCUUGCUGAUACCAUUUUGAUUUGACCAUACAGUUCAUUUUUAAAGUGUCAAGUUGUUUUUAAAAAUAAAUUUCUAAUGCAUAUUUCUAAUUUGUAAUAUAUACUUAUUAGACUUUCCAUGUCAUGCAUUUUAAUUGUAAGUUCUAACUGACUGGUUUAAUGAUACUUUGCAAAGUAAACUCAACAUGUAGGUCAUAAGUUCAGAGUGAAUGAAUCCCUGGAUGUUUACCAAAUACCAAAAUUAAAUUACAUUCUUAAUUGUUUUGCAAAUACUUUGGCCUAACUAAUUAAAUAGGAAUGACUUUCUGUGUUGCUAUAGUGCAAGGAAUAUUAAAGUCUUUAGGACUCAUUUUAAAUUAACAAACUCUACUGCUUUCAUUGUACACUACGUGGUCAUCUAACACUUCAAAAAAAGCAACUACCUUGCUCUCCCAAAACAGACAAACCAUGUAACUGAAUACAUGAUACAACUAAAGCUGUAAGAAAAAUCUCUUGAGG